AGUGAACGCUGGUGGUAGGCCUAACACAUGCAAGUCGAACGGCAGCACAGUAAGAGCUUGCUCUUACGGGUGGCGAGUGGCGGACGGGUGAGGAAUACAUCGGAAUCUACUUUUUCGUGGGGGAUAACGUAGGGAAACUUACGCUAAUACCGCAUACGACCUACGGGUGAAAGCAGGGGAUCUUCGGACCUUGCGCGAUUGAAUGAGCCGAUGUCGGAUUAGCUAGUUGGCGGGGUAAAGGCCCACCAAGGCGACGAUCCGUAGCUGGUCUGAGAGGAUGAUCAGCCACACUGGAACUGAGACACGGUCCAGACUCCUACGGGAGGCAGCAGUGGGGAAUAUUGGACAAUGGGCGCAAGCAUGAUCCAGCCAUACCGCGUGGGUGAAGAAGGCCUUCGGGUUGUAAAGCCCUUUUGUUGGGAAAGAAAAGCAGCAGGUUAAUACCCCGCUGUUCUGACGGUACCCAAAGAAUAAGCACCGGCUAACUUCGUG
rnacentral:rRNA from 1 species